UUUUAUACGCCCGUAUAAAAUACGGGACGUAUUAUGUGAAACCCCUUGGCGGGCGGGCGGGCGGCGGGCGGAAGGCAUCACUUUGUCCGGACUCUAAUUCAAAUUGUAUUCAUCCGAUCUUCACCAAACUUGGUCAGCAGUUGCAUCUAGUUGAUAUCUAGGCCAAGUUCGAAUAUGGGUCAUGCCGGGUCAAAAACUAGGUCAUAGGGUCAAUUAGUGCAUUUUCAACGGCGCCACUUUGUCCGGACUCUAAUUCAAAUUGUAUUCAUCCGAUCUUCACCAAACUUGGUCAGUAGUUGCAUCUAGUUGAUAUCUAGGUCAAGUUCGAAUAUGGGUCAUGUCGGGUCAAGAACUAGGUCAUAGGGUCAAUUAGUGCAUUUUCAACGGCGCCACUUUGUCCGGACUCUAAUUCAAAUUGUAUUCAUCCGAAACUUUUAAACAACUUUUUAUCCUGCGUCAAAGUGGUAUGGGGGUAUAAGUCACAUUCAGUGACAAAGCUCUAGUUUCCCCUUUGGACGGGCCCCGCCACCAUUCCCCUAUAAGUGAAAAAAAACACUGCGGUUUUCACAGGUGUACUUUGGGGACCUUAUUACUCAAUUGUUACUACUAGGGGACCAAUUGCGCUGAGAAUUGAAAAUAUUGUCACAAAAACAUUGAUGGCAACUAGCGAGUGGGUACCCACACUAGGUCAAGUUAGAAUAUGGGUAAUGCAGGGUCAAAAACUAGGUCAC